CCUGUCGGAGGGUCCCGUUAGGGUUCCGUGAGUGUGGUUCCCUCGGGCUCCUAGGCCUCGGCUGCAGUCCAGGCCUCGCGCCCGAGCGCUGAGGGCGGCCGCCCCGCGCUGCCGGGAGUCGGUCGCCGAGAAGGGUCUUGAUGAGCUACUGAGGCUGGCCUUGAACUUUUGAUCCUCCUCCCUCAGCCUCCAGAGCUGCUGGUUUACAGUUUUCAGCGGACACAACAUCUUUUGUUUGUAUGUGGUGCUGAGGAUCGAACCCGGGCUGCACGCAUGCCAGCCAUGAGGUGAAAGGUUUGCCUCACCAUGAAAUGCUGCAUGGAGUGCUGCCUUGCCACAGGCCCAACCGACCAUACACAGAAACCCCUGAAACUAUGAGGAAACCAAGGCUUCCAGAGAAGCCCCAAAGUCAGUAGAGGAAAAAGCAGGGACAAAAAAGCAAACCCCUACCACCUCACCCAAGGUGGCAGGAAGGCAGCAGAAGAGACAGCUGUCCUGGAUCUUCAAGGAGGGAUGGUUUCCAAGCAAGAGGCUUUCUUCUUUCAAAAAAACUGCUUCUAGGCAGAAGGACUGCUGGAGACCAGCCUGGGCAACAUGUGCAGACAGCUACCCAGGGGAAUGCUGGAAGAUUUGAGGUGGAUUCUCAGACGGCAGCCGCCCCGACGGCCCAGUCCUGCCGUUGGAAGGGGAGGAAGUUCGCAGUCGGAGGCUACAAACCCCCAGUUAACGGACCUGCAGGCGGCGCCCGGCGCCUCUGCGCGGAAGGGUUCCUCCCGCGGCGGGCGGGCGGGGCGCGCUCCUUCCGCUGGCGGCGACGGCCGUGGGCGAGCGCAGGGAGGGGAGGGUCCACAGACCGGCGGGAGGAGGGCACCUCCUUUCCGCGCGCCCCGGGGUGGGAGCGCCGAGGAGCUGCUCUGAGCGGUGGGCGCGGGCCGUCAGAGCCCAGGGUGUGGCCCCGCCGGGCUUGCGCCGUCCUUCCUCUCUCAUGCCCAUUUCUUUUACACACUAUUUUUGUGCCGGGGACUGGGGACGAAACCCGGCAUCAGACAUGCGAAGCAGGCUGCUACCACUGAGCUCCAGCCGCCCCUGUAUUCCUCAUAAAUGGCCAGGUCACCUGGGCCUCUCCGCGGGAGGGAGGGCAGGGCCAGCAUGGCUUCCUAGGUCUGAAGCAGCCAGGUCAGGCGUGGAGAUGGGCACAGAGUGGGCUGGAGCUGUGGUUAUUGGGAACAUGGGGCUCAAGCUGAUGAAGGCAGGUGACCAGUUUAAUGACCCCAGUGUUGGGUAAACAAAUCUGUGGAGCAUCCAGGUGGAUGGGCUUCAGUAAACAGGAUGCUGGGAGUGAGGGCAGGAACACACUUACAAGGGAUGCUUAGGAACGGAAGGGAACUGGGCAAUAUUGUAGAGUCAAAGAGCCCAGGAACUGGGAGGGCAAGAGACCUGUGAGCGGUGGCAGGACCCUUCUCCUGUGGCCCUCUCAACCCCUUGGCUUCUGGUGGAAGCCCAUCUGUGUUGGGGCCUGCCUUCAGUCAGACAGCAGAGCAGGCACAAGCCCCUGGCCUGGGCAAACCAUGAAACUGAACAAGGACAUUCAAUGGGAGUUCCCAGGCAAGGAGCAUGUGGGUAGAUACCCCAGCAGAGAGAAGGGAGAGGUGGAAUGAGCUGGGUGGCAGCCCCCUGUGGUCUGCCACCUGAAGAGGGACCUCUGUUGUGUGUCCCAGUGAUACUGCCGGUUAUGGGUAAGGAAUUCUGGUUUCCCACCUGUUGAAGUUUGAACAUAAGAGAAGCACAGGGAGGCCAGCUUAUAAAGCAGGGUUUGUUUAAAAAGGAGUAACAUAGACUCCUGCAAAGGAGAAGGGGCCAUAGCUGGUAUCCGAAGAAGCGAGGUUUUCUGCCCUUUUUAUAUGUCCCAGGCUCCCUUGGUUCUCCUGCCCUCUUCCCCUUCUCUUUCUCCCUCCAGCGACUAGGCCCAGGAAUGUUCGGUGGGAGGGCCAAAGGGGGGAAACCCGUGGGCUGAAGGGGGAAGGGCAGGAUGUGCCGUGCAGCCCAGGACACGUGAACAACCUUAGAGCUCCCUGUAGAGAGGGGCAAUGCCUGGGACAGGUUACCUUGGCAACAGGUGGGAGCAGGGGCAGGUUCUUGAUGAGGGUGGAGGAAGGGCUCUGAGGGAAUUAACAUUUCAGUCCCUCUGGGGACUGUCUCCAACUUCUGGGACUCACUCACAAUUGGCCUCCUUGAUCUGACCUGACUCCAUCUACCUGUCUGUACUGACUGCCUUUCUAAUUCUGGCUUCACCAGAAGUCUGGGACUUUCUACAACAGGAGAUGGGCAGUUGAGAAAGGAAUGUGGAACAGACUCAGUUCAGCAAGAAUCAGCAGAAGAUUGCCACAGUACAGGGCCUCAGGGCCUAAGAUGGCAGGUGGACCCCUGAGCAUGAAGAGAAAGAGCAUUUCCAAGGAAAAUUCUACUUGUCUUGGCAGCCAUCAGACUAUGGGGGGUGAGGGUGAGGGGUGAGCCAAGGAUGACUCAGAAGGUUUGGAAGGGUCAAGGGUAAAUGGCAGUAUUCUGGAACAGUUUAGUGGUUGCCAGCAGUUUACUUCAGGUAUAGGUCACCUUCUCCCAUUCUGUUAGGAGAACCUCAGUGCCUCUAACCUCUGAGUACCCCCUGCAUGCCAGGUACUGAGGGCUUCCCUGGGAUGAGCUUAUGACCUCUCUCCACAUGCCUGCCAUCAGCACAGACAGGCUGAGCAGUUUGUUCAAAGCUGCAUAGUCACAAGUUGACUCCAGACCUUGUUUCCCCCACACCCCCAUGGUUCCUUUUGAAAUCAGGGCCUUGCACAUGGGAGGCACACUUCUUUCUGAAGUAUAAGCCAUGAAUCACUGCUCUUCCUAUAUGUGGUAAUUACAACUUGAUUCUAAACAUUUCUCCAAAGCUUUUGAUAAACAUCAACUUUUUUUUUUUCUUACAGUGCCAGAGGUGGAACUCAAGGACUAGUGCAUGCUAGGCAAAUCUCUACCGGUGAUCUACAUUCCCAGGUCUCAACCUGAAUUUUUUUCUUUUUUUUUUUUUUUUCGUGUGUGUGUAUGUGGUGCUGGGGAUUGAACCCAUGGCCUUGUGCAUGUGAAGCAAGCACUCUACCAACUGAGCUAUAUCCCCAGUCCCCUGAAUUUUUUUUCCCCCUCGUUUUCAGUACUGGAGAUUGAACCCAGGGGCACUUUACCACUGAGCCACAUCCCCAGUCCUAUUUAUUUGUUUAUCUGUGGUGCUGGGGAUUGAACCCAGGGCCUUGUGCAUGAAAGGCAGACACUCUACAACUGAGCUAUAUCCCCAGCCCUCCCAGUCCUUUUUGUUGGGUGCAGAGCAGGCUGAAUUCUGUUGUCUGCUGGGCAGGCUGAACAGAUGUUGGCUGCAAGAUAGCCCACGCACUCAAACCCCCCUCUAUCUGGUCCUUUAUCACCUGUUUUCCUCAAGUCUGAACAUUCAACCCUGCUUAAGGCUGAACACUUAACCCCCCCUGCAGACCCAGAGGCCCCAUUAGAUUUGGGCUAUAAAAACUCCCUCCUACCAGGCCCUCCUCUCUCUCCCUCUCUCUCUUGCUCUUUCUCUCUUGCUCUUUAUCUUUCUUACGCGCGCUCUCUCUCUCUUGCUCUUGCUCUCUCCCUGUUCAUCUCUUCUCUUUUCUCUCUCUUUCCUUCUUUCCUUUCUCUUUGUUGCACUGCUGCAAUAAAGAUCUUUUGGUUGCUCCGAGUGUUGUGGUCACUUUCCUUUCAUUGGUGCCGAAACCUGGGAGAGGGUUAAAACCCACUUUUGGGUCCCUCUUCCUUCGGAAGUGCCACUGACCGGAUGACCUGAACCCAGGCCUGAACCCAUUUUCUCGACUGCUAGAACUCCAUCCACCACCGACCUUCAAUUGGUGAGUUUCCCCUUCCUGGAGUCCUAAACCCAAUGGUGGUGUCAGGAGGAUUUGGCCUUGAUUGUCUGGCAAACCUCUUUGCCCACCUGCGGGGAGGAAAACACCCCACCACAGCCUUUAAGGCUACGGUGGCCCUCAGGGACUCCUUCCUAGGGCAGAAUAGACUCCUGGGUUCAAAAUUAUUCCCUUCCCUUCCCAGCUGUUAGUUACCAGCAUAGGCUUUGUAGGUCUCCCUCGAAGGACUGUGUAACCUCCAGGGACACAUAACAGAGAACUGAACAUCACAGUCCACCCAGACCUUCACCAUCUCUGUGGCUCUCCUAAAAUCCUAGUCCUCACACCUUCAAGACUCGGCUGCUAGAGAGUACCUUACCCUCCCCUUCCUCUCUCUUCCCCUGUCUCUCUCUUUCCCCUCUUUCCGGCCCUGCAAGUCUCUGGCCUCUCCAGGAGGGGUCCCAAAAAGAAAAGCCUUGGGCAAGGUCUCCCACGGCUCCAGCUCCAUCCAGGACGAGAGCUUCGACUGUCAGGAUUCGGUGAUGACCAAUCUCUGCAGCUCGAACCUGCCACUAAGACACUCCUGAUUUUUGGCUCUAGCGGGGACGCCCCUUUUGCCAAUAAAUCAGUUUCCUCCUUCUCUCUUAUACUACGGUUGCGUCUCCUUCCUUCUCCUCUAUACCAAGUUUGCAUCCCCUUCCCUCCUCCUUAUACUACUUUGCGACACGGGUAAUGUGUCCUCUCUGCCGGUCGACUCUCCCCUACAAUGCCUCUUGGAUAACCUCAAAACCCUCUCCUUGACACCAGACAUCAAACCCCCAAAAUUGAUCAAAUAUAGCACCCAGGCCUGGCCCACUUAUCCCUUAGACAACCAAAGCAGAUGGCCCCCCUUUUGGGUCCCUGGAUCCCUCCAUUCUAAGGGAUCUCUACAAUUACUGUGAGCAUUCGAAAAAAUGGGUAAAAAGCUGCUAUAUCAAAGCUUUCUUCUUGCUUGUGCUCUCUGCACCUCUGCAAAUUCUUCUAGCUUGCAAACCAACACCCACAACCACUGAUCCCCAAUCUCCUCUUCCUCCGGACUCAUCCACUACUUUUGACCCUCCUGAUGAAUUUCCACCCUAUCGCCCGGCUCAAAUAGGUCCUCACCCUCAACCUUCUGCCCCAGCCCCUCCACUGUCUCCCCCACCUGAACAACCUGACUUCUCCUCUCCACUCACUAGAUCAAAAACCUAAACAACCGUCUUUCCUCAAAACAUUGCCUCUUUUCUGAGGUAGCAAGUACUGAAGGAAUCCCUCUACCCAACACUUUUUAUUUUUAAAUUUUAUUUAUUUAUUUACUUACUUAAAAUACUUUUUAGUUGUCAAUGUGAAGCCAGAUUUAAAGAUAGAUAGUCAGUGUAGAUAGAUAAAUUGAGUCAAAAGAACUAGGAGGACAAUUUUAAGUUACUCUGAGAAGUUGGACACUGUCCCCUGAGGGAUCUUAUGUAGAACCUGCCCCUGCUCCAACCUGUUGCCAGGGUAACCUGUCCCAGGAAUUGCCCCUCCCUCCAGGGAACUCUAGGGUUGUUAAAGUGUCCUUGUCUACUCCACCUGCCCUUCCCCCUUCAGCCCACCUGGUUCCCACCUUUUGGCCAUCCCACCCAGCACUCCUGGGCCUAGUCACCACCUCCACAAGAAGGAGAAAGAUAAAAGGGAAAAAGGCAGGAGAACAAAGGAAUCCUAGGAUAUAUAAAAAGGGCAGAACACCUCGUUUCUUGGGAUACCAGCUAUGGCCCCUUCUCCCUUGCAGGAGAAGUCUAUGUUACCCCUUUUUAAAUAAACCCUGCUUCAUAUGCUU